GAUUAACGCUGGCGGCGUGCAUAACACAUGCAAGUCGAACGAAGUGGCGGACGGGUGAGUAACGCGUGAGUAACCUGCCUUAGAGAAGGGGAUAGCCUUUGGAAACGAAGAAUAAUACACUAUCCUCUAAGAUGGUCUUGCGUCUGAUUAGUUAGUUGGUGGGGUAACGGCCCACCAAGACAGCGAUCAGGAGCCGGCUUGGGGGAGUGGUCGGCCACAUUGGGACUGGGACACGGCCCAGACUCUACGGGAGGCAGCAGUGGGGAAUCUUGCACAAUGGGGGAAACCCUGAUGCAGCGACGCCGCGUGAUUUAGAAGGCCUUCGGGUUGUAAAAAUCUUUUCUAUGGGAAGCAGUACCAUAGGAAUAAGGACCGGCUAAUUACGUGCCAGCAGCCGCGGUAAUUC
rnacentral:rRNA from 1 species